GAUGAAGAACGUAGCGAAAUGCGAUAACUAAUGUGAAUUGCAGAAUUCAGUGAAUCAUCGAGUCUUUGAACGCACAUUGCGCCCCCUGGUAUUCCGGGGGGCAUGCCUGUCCGAGCGUCAUUGCUGCCCUCAAGCACGACUUGUGUGUUGGGCUCCGUCCCCCCGGGGACGGGCCCGAAAGGCAGCGGCGGCACCGAGUCCGGUCCUCGAGCGUAUGGGGCUUUGUCACCCGCUCUGUAGGCCCGGCCGGCGCCAGCCGACAACCCAUCAUCCUUUUCAGGUUGACCUCGGAUCAGGUAGGGAUACCCGCUGAACUUAAGCAUAUCAAUAAGCGGAGGA
rnacentral:misc_RNA from 1 species